UGCUGUUACUCCCAAGUCAUCCUCGUCUGAUGAGUCCUCCGAAGGAGCUAUGACACUUGGUACUAUUGGCAUUUUUGUGUCAGGCUAAAACCACCCCAUUUUCCUGCACUUUUAAUUAGCUUUAAUCAGCUUUUAAUUAGCAGCAUCUGCUGCUGCCUUUUUUUGCUUUGGUGAUGCUGCUUUAGAGAGAGAAAGAGAGAGAGAGAACGAAUGAAUGAACAAAUAAGUAAGCCAGGGAAAUGAUUCAGCACCAGAAGCCACCCGUGCAACUUGCUUAGGAAAAUGGCAGCGAAUGAACCUCAGUGAAGGCUCUGUUUGAACUUGCUAAGAUGACACCAGCCACUUGCUGAGAAAAGCCAACAAAGCCGGAAUAUUGUCAGCUGCCUUUGGCCAAAAGAUGGGGCAUAAAUAAAUUUAACAACAACAACAAUAAGAAGACUGCCCUUGAAAAAGGGUCAUUCAGACCUGAGAUGCGUUGGGCUCUAAUCAACAGCUCCUACUUGACAACAAAACACUUUUACUACAUUGUGACUGCCCUUGGCAUUCCUGAGAAACUGGUUUCCUCUUUUUGUUUUCUGUUUAUCUCCAUACCUCAUUCCCCCCCCAAAAUUCAGCUCUCCAUAUUCUGCACCAAUUUGCAAUUUUUUUUGAAAAAUUCUCAUGAAAAUUCUUCAGCAUUUUAGUGUGAAUU